rnacentral:lncRNA from 1 species
AAGCUGGAGAAAGGCGCACAUGCCUCUUUGGAGAUGGUGAACAAAAAAUGGCGUGCAAUCCACCACAUGCGGGCCGUAAAUCUAUGGCUCGCUUAUGGAUGAAGUUCUGCCGGAGGGAAAGGAUGUUAUUAUGUAAAAUGGUCGAAGGGGAUUACGUCUGCAUUUGUGCUAACGUAGUACGAAGAACUAAACCCAAGUACGGUGGCCGCCAGGUGCAAGAGAACGAACAGCUUGGAAGUGGUACACGUCAACGCCCUGAA